UAUUACUGUCACCAUCUACAGCAAAACCACUUUCCAAGGGCUUUUAUAUGGCGAUCUCUUUUCCUGAAUCCACUGACAUCAGUGAAGAAGCUACCUGGUCGAGACCAAGUUUAUCCCAGGCAAGAAUCCAUCCUUAACAGAUGGGUGCUGUGUCAGAACAAUGCCAGACACCAGCGAUGUGCAGAAGAGGGCAAUGCCAUGACCUUAAAGAAUUUGCUGCUUAGUUCUGGGAAUUUCAUCUUCACCUACAGAUGAAUGUGGAAUGUUCUAGAGGCUGAGAUGUCCAAACGCAAGGUGCCAUCCUUCGGGCGAUUCUAGGAGCAGGUCAAGUCAGAGUAGAUGCACCUGCCCAACGCGGAGAGCUCCUUCCAGUGCACCCUGUACAGACAGCCGCAGAGAAACCCCAGCGUGCACCGCAGCAGCCGCCUCACGAGAUUUCUCGCUCUAGGCCAUCUCCUCUGUUUUUCUGGUUUCCACAUUCUAAUCGCUCAUUAAAAGUUAUUCAACUCUUCCUUUUUGCUGCGAGCAAAAGGAUUUUUUUUUUAAAUUUCUCAUUAUAACUCCAUAUGCAAACAACUGGUUUUGAAUGAACGUGUCUAGACAACUCUCUGCCCAGAAACACUUUGGGGGGAAAAAUGUUUAACAAGCUAAAGU